CUCCCUGUUGAAAGCAACCAGCUCCAAAAAUACACAAACACAAAAAAAAACUCUUCUAAACCCCUCUGACAUCUCAGCUGCAAAACCUCCAACUCACUGAUACAGUGACACUGAGGAUGGAAACAAAAGUGUUCAUCUGUGCUCUGUGUGUCUGUUUGGUAACACCUCUAGGGCAUAAGACAUCAUCCAAGAAAACACCCAAGACUUUCAUAAAUUCAUUCACAUUUCUGACAUACAUACUCUCACAGGAAGGUCCUGUUAAUGGAAGUAAUUCUGAGCAGAUGACAAACCAUACGUUAAAUGCAAAUACAACCCAAGAAAUUAUUUUGGAAACAACCGUUGCACCGAACCUUGCAGAGAAUGAUCGGAAACAUAAUGACACAGAAGUCUCAGACACAACUCAAGAGUUACAAAACCAUGAAGACAAGUCAUGAUUAAAAACAAGUAAAAAGACAAGAGAAUUGGAAAACAGUCAACCCUAAUGAAAUGACAUGCUUUAAUGUCUGUUGAACAAAUUACCUUUGUAUUGUACAAUAUGCAACGUCACAUGUAAAAGAUGUGCCUGAUUAAAUGUACAAAGAAAAAAAGAAACCCAACUCAUGACCAUAAUGACUGUGCUAUGCUAGACGGUGAAUGAUAAAACAUUGAGAGUAAGCUAUUAUUAUUAUAGUACAGUAUAUCAAAAGUAGAUAAUUGCAUUAGUAAAGUUAAAGGGUUAAAUAACAAUUUUAUUAGCCUAUGUAUGCUUAUCAAAAGUGUAAUUUUCAUUAUUUGGUGAUAAUUAAACUGUCCACUGGGGAAGUUGUUUCUGGGUUAAAACUUAUAAUAACUACUCUGAAAUCACAUCUCAAACUGUGAUAAUCCGCUGAUUAUAUGUUCUUAAAUAACAUAAUAUAUAAUAAAAACUUGAGGUAGUCAACAAGCCUACAAAACUACCAAUGUUAAAUGCCAAGAGAAUCUGAUUUAUAAUCUCUUGGGUAGAGGUUUAAACACUAAGGCUAGAUGUUGAGAAUGGAC
rnacentral:lncRNA from 1 species